rnacentral:rRNA from 1 species
AGUGAACGCUGGCGGUAGGCCUAACACAUGCAAGUCGAACGGCAGCACAGAGGAGCUUGCUCCUUGGGUGGCGAGUGGCGGACGGGUGAGGAAUACAUCGGAAUCUACUCUGUCGUGGGGGAUAACGUAGGGAAACUUACGCUAAUACCGCAUACGACCUACGGGUGAAAGCAGGGGACCUUCGGGCCUUGCGCGAUUGAAUGAGCCGAUGUCGGAUUAGCUAGUUGGCGGGGUAAAGGCCCACCAAGGCGACGAUCCGUAGCUGGUCUGAGAAGAGGGUCAGCCACACUGGAACUGAGACACGGUCCAGACUCCUACGGGAGGCAGCAGUGGGGAAUAUUGGACAAUGGGCGCAAGCCUGAUCCAGCCAUACCGCGUGGGUGAAGAAGGCCUUCGGGUUGUAAAGCCCUUUUGUUGGGAAAGAAAUCCAGCUGGCUAAUACCCGGUUGGGAUGACGGUACCCAAAGAAUAAGCACCGGCUAACUUCGUGCCAGCCGCCGCAGUAA